rnacentral:rRNA from 1 species
UACGUAGGUGGCAAGCGUUGUCCGGAUUUACUGGGCGUAAAGAGCGCGCAGGCGGUCGUAUAAGUCGAAUGUGAAAGCCCCCGGCUCAACUGGGGAGGGUCAUUCGAUACUGUUCGACUCGAAGGCAGGAGAGGGAAGUGGAAUUCCGGGUGUAGUGGUGAAAUGCGUAGAUAUCCGGAGGAACACCAGUGGCGAAGGCGGUCUUCUGGACGGUGACUGACGCUGAGGCGCGAAAGCGUGGGGAGCAAACGGG